rnacentral:rRNA from 1 species
CCUCGCCUUGUUUACCAAAAACAUCGCCUCUUUGAACUUUAUAAGAGGUCCAGCCUGCCCAGUGACUCUGUUCAACGGCCGCGGUAUCCUAACCGUGCGAAGGUAGCGUAAUCACUUGUUCUUUAAAUGUGGACUAGUAUGAAUGGCACCACGAGGGUUAUACUGUCUCCUUUUUCUAAUCAGUGAAACUAAUUUUCCCGUGAAGAAGCGAGAAUAUAAUUAUAAGACGAGAAGACCCUAUGGAGCUUUAAACAACCUAGCAAUUACUUCUAAAUAAUAAAUUUCAGAAUACUCAUUUUUUAAGCAAUAUGUCUGCAAGUUUUCGGUUGGGGUGACCAUGGAGAAUAACACAACCUCCAUAUUGAAUGAAUUUUCAUUCUAAGCUAAAAAUUACUAAUUGAAGCAUCAACACACUGACAUCUAUUGACCCAAUAUAUUUGAUCAACGAACCAAGUUACCCUAGGGAUAACAGCGCAAUCCACUUCAAGAGCUCCUAUCGACAAGUGGGUUUACGACCUCGAUGUUGGAUCAGGGUAUCCCAGGCGCAGCCG